rnacentral:rRNA from 1 species
AUGGAUUCCGGUGAAGAGGUGGAUUGGAUAGGGAUAGCUGCUGCUGUCGAACUCGAAGAAGCUGGAGCUGAGGCUGCUGCUGCCAAAGAAGCUACGAGUGUGGCAAGGGCAGUGGCUUCGGCGCCCAGAUCAACCAACCGGAAGCGACCACAUGACUCCGACGACUGGCAGGGCAUUCCUUCGACAUUUAAUUUAGCUGAUGUGGAUCCUGAUCCUGGCACACGCAAGCAAAUUGAAGAGUAUGCAACUCCAGAAAUUAGAGAUGAAAUGAGAAGGGCAUAUUUGUCGAAAGAUGUGGGGCAUUUGUAUGGUCAUGAUUUUUCUCGUACUCGUUUUGGGUAA